rnacentral:rRNA from 1 species
UCCCCUUCGGGGGGUGAGUAGAGUGGCGUCCGGGUGAGUAACGCGUAGGUAAUCUACCUUUGGGUGGGGAAUAACGCAGGGAAACUUGCGCUAAUACCGCAUAAUGCAGCGGCACCACAUGGUGACAGUUGUUAAAGCGGGGGAUUUUCGGACCUCGCGCCUAAAGAGGAGCCUGCGGCAGAUUAGCUAGUUGGUAAGGUAACGGCUUACCAAGGCGACGAUCUGUAGCCGGCCUGAGAGGGCGGUCGGCCACACUGACACUGACAUACGGGUUAGACUCCUACGGGAGGCAGCAGUCGGGAACUUUGGGCAAUGGGCGAAAGCCUGACCCAGCAACGCCGCGUGAAGGAUGAAAUCCCUCGGGAUGUAAACUUCGCAAGAAUAGGAAGAAUGAACGAGCGCUAAUACCGUUCGUGAUGACGGUACUAUUUGUAAGCUCCGGCUAACUCCGUGCCAGCAGCCGCGGUAAUACGGGGGGAGCAAGCGUUGUUCGGAUUUACUGGGCGUAAAGGGCGCGUAGGCGGCCAGCGCAAGUCAGUUGUGAAAUCUCCGGGCUUAACUCGGAACGGUCAACUGAUACUGCGCGGCUAGAGUGCGGAAGGGGCAACUGGAAUUCACGGUGUAGCA